UUGCUUAUUGACAUGACUCCGUUCCGUAGAGGAAUUGUAACAUGUAUUUGCGACGUACUCAGCUGAAGUUAGCUACGGAUAAAAUCAAUAAUUUCUGCCGUCUGGAUAAGCGCUAACUCAAAGAUGACCGUGACUGCACGGAAAACGAAAUAACGACCGCAGCUGCACGUGUGCUGUACCGCCGUUUGCGACUGCGUGAAUAGGCUCAGCGGAUGAGCUGAGCCUCCCUACGCAUUGCCUCGUUUGCCGCAUUUCGGCAUGGACGUGAGGGUGGUCUUACUUCUUGCUUUGCUCGUUGGAAUAACCUAUGCCAAUCCUCGCUGCUGGAACGUAAAAAAUGGAGUCGUCUGCUUCGGCAAGAAUUACUACUACAGUAAGACAACCGAUCCGGAUGGAAGCGUUCAAGAACAAAUGUCUUACAGCUCCAGCCAAGCGAUAAUCGUUUAGCAGGUUACAGCACUUGCUUUGAUGUUUUCAUAGCAGAACUUUUCCCUGCGGAUCUUUCCCUGUGGUAUGUUCGUGGUCCCAAUGGAUCGUUGCCAUGGAGUACAACGCGGCCGGACUGCGCCUUCAGGAGCAAGACCGGUCCAUGCUACCAUGCACUGAGUUCCUCAGGUCCUGUAGCCUGAGGCAAUGGCAUUCGCCACCUCCUCGCUUGUCUAUCGCUCUUCUCCGUGUCUGCAAUCCUGGUUGAGCCGCAAUGCUCGCGCUAGGUUUAAGAAUAAGUUGUUGAACUAAUAUAUUUUCAUUUUGAUCUCAUUAAGGUGACUUCUAAUAAAAAUUGUUUGUUUCCAAAUGA